AUACGGAGGGUGCGAGCGUUAAUCGGAAUUACUGGGCGUAAAGAGCGCGUAGGUGGCUUGGUAAGUCGGAUGUGAAAGCCCCGGGCUUAACCUGGGAAUGGCAUUCGAAACUGCCAGGCUAGAGUAUGGUAGAGGGAAGUGGAAUUCCGGGUGUAGCGGUGAAAUGCGUAGAUAUCCGGAGGAACACCAGUGGCGAAGGCGGCUUCCUGGACCAAUACUGACGCUGAGGCGCGAAAGCGUGGGGAGCAAACAGAAUUAGAAACCCCAGUAGUCC
rnacentral:rRNA from 1 species